rnacentral:lncRNA from 1 species
UUGGAUUGUUAUCAAGACAAACACAAAGUCUUAUAAUUAUUUUCUCUCUUCAAGAUCAAACAACAACUUCUUCAACACAACACAAGAACACAAGAUGAACACCACCACCAACAACAAGAAACCGUCCACUUAACACCACAACACAACCGGAAUCUUGCUCAAGAACUUGGGUGGUAGACUCAAUAAGUCUUGAGGAGAAAGGGAACCAACACUAUAAACAAACUAAGAAAACAAAAC